GUAGACGGCCACCUCUUCAUACCUGUCUGCCUCUAGGGGGGCCAAAUGGAGCGUUGGAGGUUGAGCUUACAGACCAGCAUGUUUCAGUUCAUGCUGUUCACUACUCUUCUGCUGGAUUUAUCCUCAGUGUCCAACACAGCUGUUCUAGUACGGGAUGGAUCCUCUGUGACUCUGCUCUGCAAAAACUCUGACAUGAGUAAUGCUUGCUGGAGCAGAAAAUGUAGUAAUUGGUUUUGGUGCGUUGAACCAAUAGUGGAUGUAUCCGGACCUGACAUCCUUUUUGGCCCGACACACCCUGACAAAUACAGUCUCAGAGGAGACCUGAGCAUUGGAGAGGUAGACCUCACCCUUUCAAAUGUGAAGCCAGCAGAUGACGGGACCUACUGCUGCAUGACCAGUGCAUCACCAAACCCAAUGACCUACCGUCUGAAAAUAGUUAAUGGCAAGUGGUUUUAAGUCAAUGCCCUUAAAUUCUGGUCCAGGGAAAGUACUCCCUUUCUAAGUAUGUUUGCCUUUAUUGUUGCUUGUGUCACUGACAGUUGUCACAAACAGUAUAUUUACUAUCAACUCACUGCGAUACUAGACUUUUGUCCAACAGCCGCAAAUGUCCGAUUUUGGAAUGUCGAAUCAUCACUAGAAUUGACUUGCCUGGUCAAAAUAAUGACAAUAGCUCAUCACAUUGAUGACUUCAAUGACGCAAUAACCCAGAUUUGGUUAAGUUUAGGCAAGGACUCAACUUGGUCAGGGUCAGGGCUACUGUUAAUUAAGGGAGAAGUUACACGACCAUUAGACCUGAUCACGUGAUAACACCUGCUCAACAGCCCUCUGGUGGACGAACUGUCAUACUGCCUUGGUCAGACGUCCAAUAGCGCAGUCUGAGGCUUGCGACCUGGCUGACUUGCCUGAACUGUUUUAUUUUGUCUUUGUCACACAGGUUGUGUGAGGGAGCUCUUGAAAGAUGUUUGUUUCAUUUAUAAUGACAUUAAGAACUUUGCAAGCCCGAAUGCAAACCAAUGUCAACUGCACCCAACUUGAUGCCUGUCAGUAUUUCACAUAUAUUCACAGGUAGACAUGUUCAAUUGAAAUAUACAACAUUCCAAUGGUACAGCUGUUAGUGUAGUUUUUAUAACUGUUACUGGUACCCACAGAUAUCCUAUCAAAUUACAAUAUAUCUACAAAUUCAUUGUUUUAUCCAAUAUUUUACCAUAUUUGAUAUGUUUCUAGAAUUAAAGCUUUUCUUUACCAAUAUGGAUGAUUUUGUUAGAAUCUCAUUGUGCAUUCUAAUAAUUCUGUAUGUAAUUUUAUGCUGCUACCAGUAACACUGAUCAUAUUAGUUCGUAAACCAUGAAAAGGAAUCUCCAGCUGCACAUAGCUUCAUAACCUCAACAGCAAAUUUACCACGUGACUGAGUUAGCAAUUACACAAACUUUCAUAUGCAACAGAUAUCAACAUAAUCAAAAGAUAAAGUCUAACUAAAUGUUGAUCUUCUCACAAAGUCGACAGGAGUGCUAUCUGAAGGGUUCAGCUGGUGGCAGGGCAAUGAAUGUGAUACACUUAGAAGACAGAGUUUCAGGCUACACCCUUAAAGACUGCGAGGAAAAAGGAAAGAAAACUGUAAGCAUGGUGAAGAUGUUUCUGAAAGUACCUCCAGGAGUUGACCUUAAUGACCCUCUGGUGAAAGAGCAAAUUCUCACACAGGUGGGAGGAGAGGUUUCAGGGAGGAACUUUGGAUCUUUGCUAUAGAUUUGCUAUGGCUCUUUUACAGCGUUGUACUGUAGCCUAAUCAAUGAAGUGAAAAAAUACUUCUCAGACAUGUGACAACCCUUAUACAAAUGAGGAAAUGGCCAUCAGAUCAUUUCCUGUGGAUCACAUCUUUAUACAGCAUUUGUCAUCCAUGUUGUUUUAAGAUACAGGCAGAGAUCGCCCAGACAGAUGGAGGUGCAUCUGUGCGAUGGAAGGAGCAGCCGGAUGGAAAAGUCUUCCAGAAGAAAGAGAAAAAGGAGAGAAAGAAAGAACGUAAGUCAAAAGACACAAGACAUGACCACUUGAAUGUUCCAAGUCUGUUAGUCCAUUUGGUUGUUAUUCUGGGUUAAUACCUCAAUAUAA